UACGUAGGGUGCGAGCGUUGUCCGGAAUUAUUGGGCGUAAAGGGCUCGUAGGCGGUUUGUCGCGUCGGGAGUGAAAGCCCUCGGCUUAACUGAGGAAGUGCACCCGAAACUGAGUAGCUAGAGUACGAAAGAGGGUCGCGGAAUUCCCGGUGUAGAGGUGAAAUUCGUAGAUAUCGGGAGGAACACCGGUGGCGAAGGCGGCGACCUGGGUCGAGACUGACGCUGAGGCGCGAAAGCGUGGGGAGCAAACAGG
rnacentral:rRNA from 1 species